rnacentral:sRNA from 1 species
AUAUUUUAUGUUGGGCUAGGGGCCUGCCUGGAGGACAUUUACAAGUGUUCAGUGGCCGGUAACUGCAUUAGAGUGCCUGGAGAUAUAGUCUGUUCCCAGUUCUCCAAAGGAGUCUAUGCCAUCUUUGGGUUUUAUGAACGUAGGACUGUCAACAUGCUGACCUCCUUUUGUGGGGCCCUCCACGUCUGCUUCAUUACGCCGAGCUUUCCCGUUGAUACAUCCAAUCAGUUUGUCCUUCAGCUGCGCCCUGAACUGCAGGAUGCCCUCAUCAGCAUCAUUGACCAUUACAAGUGGCAGAAAUUUGUCUACAUUUAUGAUGCCGACCGGGGCUUAUCCGUCCUGCAGAAAGUCCUGGACACAGCUGCUGAGAAGAACUGGCAGGUGACAGCAGUCAACAUUUUGACAACCACAGAGGAGGGAUACCGGAUGCUCUUUCAGGACCUGGAGAAGAAAAAGGAGCGGCUGGUGGUGGUGGACUGUGAAUCAGAACGCCUCAAUGCUAUCUUGGGCCAGAUUAUAAAGCUGGAGAAGAAUGGCAUCGGCUACCACUACAUUCUUGC